UUCUUUGACUGUGUAAAUAAUUCAUUUCUCAGACAGGGGUAGUUGUUUGUUUACCUGCUUUACUAGUUUCAGCUACAUCCUGUAGCCUUCAUCAGAAGCGUCACAAUGAUGUUGCUGUGGCAUGUCUUAUAGGUUGCUCAGUAGGG